rnacentral:rRNA from 1 species
AACCGUGCCCCAUAGUCUGGGAUACCACUUGGAAACAGGUGCUAAUACCGGAUAAGAAAGCGGAUCGCAUGAUCAGCUUUUAAAAGGCGGCGUAAGCUGUCGCUAUGGGAUGGCCCCGCGGUGCAUUAGCUAGUUGGUAAGGUAAAGGCUUACCAAGGCGAUGAUGCAUAGCCGAGUUGAGAGACUGAUCGGCCACAUUGGGACUGAGACACGGCCCAAACUCCUACGGGAGGCAGCAGAG